rnacentral:rRNA from 1 species
UUGAUGGAGAGUUUGAUUCUGGCUCAGAACGAACGCUGGCGGCGUGGAUAAGACAUGCAAGUCGAACGAGAGAAUUGCUAGCUUGCUAAUAAUUCUCUAGUGGCGCACGGGUGAGUAACACGUGAGUAACCUGCCCCCGAGAGCGGGAUAGC